rnacentral:rRNA from 1 species
GGUCCAGGACGGCCCCCCAGGGGAGCGUUGUUGCCCUCCCCACCUUCGGCGGAAGGUCACUAACGGCCCGCGUGAGCUCCACCCUAUUGCGGCCGUUUUUGGAACCCGGUCGGUUAAGGAAGAAAAAUACCUUGGUCUGCCCAGCCGCACUCCGCUGGAAAACGGCCCCGCCCCCAAGCCCGACGUCCUCGGUGGAUAUGCCCGGCUUGAAGCAAGGCGCGGACAGCCCUGGCGGUCAGGGCGACUUCGCCAUGCGCAUGACUGGGUUCUUCAUUCCGCCGGUCAGUGGCGACUACGUGUUCUUCGUCUCCUCGGAUGACGAUUCAGAUCUCUUCCGCAAGGACAUGGAGCAAGGUGCUGCAUGGCCGUCGUCAGCUCGUGCCGUGAGGUGUUGGGUUAAGUCCCGCAACGAGCGCAACCCCUGUUUCUAGUUGCCAGCAUGUAAUGGUGGGGACUCUAGAAAAACUGCCCGCGCAAGCGGAGAGGAAGGAGGGGAUGACGUCAGGUCAGCAUGGCCUUUAUGUCUGGGGCCACACACGUGCUACAAUGGCAGGUACAAACCGUCGCGAGACCGCAAGGUGGAGCUAAUCGGAUAAAGCCUGUCUCAGUUCGGAUUGUCGGCUGCAACUCGCCGGCAUGAAGUUGGAAUCGCUAGUAAUCGCGGAUCAGCACGCCGCGGUGAAUACGUUCCCGGGCCUUGUACACACCGCCCGUCACAUCACGAAAGCUGGCUGUACUAGAAGUAGCAGCGCUAACCCGCAAGGGAGGCAUGUUCCUAAGGUAUGGUCAGUGAUUGGGGUGAAGUCGUAACAAGGUAAAUGCAA